GACGAACGCUGGCGGCGUGCCUAAUACAUGCAAGUCGAACGCAGUGGGGACGGGUGAGUAACACGUGGGUAACCUCCCAUCAGAGGGGAUAACACUUGGAAACAGGGGCUAAACCGAUACUGAUGGAUGGACCCGCGGUGCAUUAGCUAGUUGGUGAGGAAACGGCUCACCAAGGCCACGAUGCAUAGCCGCCCUGAGGGGGUGAUCGGCCACACGGGGACGGAGACACGGCCAAGACUCCGACGGGAUGCAGCAGGAGGGAAUCUGCGGCAUGGGACGAAAGUCUGACCGAGCAACGCCGCGUGUGUGAAGAAGGUUUUCGGAUCGUAAAACUCUUUUGUUAGAGAAGCGGUAUCUACCCAGAAAGCCACGGCUAACUACGGGCCAGCAGCCGCGUAAUAC
rnacentral:rRNA from 1 species